rnacentral:rRNA from 1 species
CCUCUGGUGUUCCAGUUGUUCCUACAGGAGCAUUGCUGGGUAGCUAUGUUGAGAAAGGAUAAGCGCUGAAAGCAUCUAAGCGCCAAGCCUGCCCGAAGACUAUAUAUCCCUUAUACGCAAGUAUACUAAAGGCCGGUCGAAGACUACGACCUCGAUAGGCUGGAAAUGCAAGUGCCGCAAGGCAUUCAGUUUACCAGUACUAAUCAGCCGUGAGGCUUAAUCACCUUUUU